rnacentral:rRNA from 1 species
AUCGAACGCUGGCGGUAUGGACUAAAACAUGCAAGUCGAACGCGAAAAGGGGGCAACCCCAAGUAGGGUGGCGCAAGGGCGAGUAAUGCGUUUCUAACGUACCCGGACUCAGGAUAGCUCACCGAAAGGUGGAUUAAUACCUGAUAAUGCCUGCCGAGCUGGUAAUGGCUUGGCUGCCAAAGGCUUGCUGGUCUGGGAGCGGGGAACGUCCUAUCAGGUCGUUGGUGAGGUAAUGGCNCACCAAGCCUAGUGACGGGUAGCGGGUGUGAGAGCACGGCCCG